ACACCCUGAGCAGCUCGGUCAACUCUCUGACAGCUUGUGACAGUGCACGGGACACAGGGUCCAGGUCUGGGUGCCCAGAACCCUCUGCUAGUCAAGUCUUUGUGGGGAAAACAAAAGCCUCUGGAGGUCCCAACAAGGCUUUUCUCACAUGCUAUGGAUAAUAUGAAAUGCACAUUACUUUGACGGAAAACACACCUUCCAUACGUCAUCGGUCUCCCAAACUGAAAUCCAACUUGCUCUGCAGCACAUGAGAACAGCUCAGGAUCCGAAGAAGGGGACGAUUUAUUUGUCAUAGGCAAGUGUUUGCAAGCCUUGGACAGACACUGUGCUCUCUUUAAGACUAUACACACAUGCACACACACACAUGAAUGAGCACGUGUAAGCCAAUAUAACAGGAUGGUCACAAACGUGUUUUAAAUCAAUAGAAAACACACAUCAAGCUGAGCUUUUUGGCUCCUUCAAGCACCCGUUGCAAUAGCACCACAGUGAUUGACCUCACAAGGAGUGUUUACUACAGCCUAAAGGAACAUCCCUGACAGGAGGCUCGGCACAGAACAAGGACUAAGUGAUGUUGAGACAUGCAGAAAUCCAGGGCAAGAAUGACUAGAUGGCAGGAUUCAACCAGUGACCAGAAACAUAGCUGUAUCAUUUUCUGUCUGAAGUAAGCUCUGAACCCAUUCGCACAACGAAAGAAUAUUCUCUCUCCUGUCAAGUUCAUCCUCAACUCAGCAGCAGCUACAUCAUGCUGUCAUCUACCUCUAGCAAAGGCAAAAGACUCAGAAUGUGAAAACGGACAUUUUUUUUCUGUUUAAAAACAAAAAGCACCAAGGGAUACUGCAUCAUCAAUAAGAAUUCCUCCGAUGCCUGUGUAUUCUUAGCCCCGACUGCAGCACAAAUGAUGGCAUCAGAACGUUUAAAACAAUGCAACUCCUUGGCCUCCCCGAUACGAACAUCACACACUUCAGCCCAGGAGUUUUAAAAUGAGAAAGCAGUUUGAGACAUUGGCUGUCCUAUGAAUAAGAGAAAAAAAAUCAUUUCUCACUGUU